GAUGAACGCUGGCGGCGUGCUUAACACAUGCAAGUCGAACGAAGCACUUUAUUUGAUUUCCUUCGGGACUGAUCUUUUGGGGCUGGGGUGCGGAAGGGGUCGUAACCCGUUGGUUAGCUGGCUUUUACAGGGGGAAAACAAUUCGAAAAGGGCACUCAAACCGCGUAAGAGCACAGCAUCGCAUGGUACCGUGUGAAAAAGUCCGGUCGGAUAAGAUGGUACCGCGUUGGAUUGGCUAGUUGGCGCGGUAACGGCCCACCAAGGCGACGAUCCAUAGCCGACCUGAGAGGGUGACCGGCCACAUUGGGACUGAGACACGGCCCAAACUCCUACGGGAGGCAGGAGUGGGGAAUAUUGCACAAUGGGCGAAAGCCUGAUGCAGCGACGCCGCGUGAGCGAAGAAGUAUUGCGGUAUGUAAAGCUCUAUAAGCAGGGAAGAUAAUGACGGUACCUGACGAAGAAGCACCGGCUAAAUACGUG
rnacentral:rRNA from 1 species